UUUGAUCUGUAUUUCUAUUAAAAGCUCUACCAAUUCCAUAACAGUUCCAGAAUUCUGUAUCAAUUGGUCUCUUAGCUGGACAAACGAAUAAAGUCUGUAUGUGCUUCCUAUUUAUUCAUCAAGAGCAAACUAAGGAUACCCUUGAUGUGAUAGGCAGCUAGAUCAGUUUCAAUCUCCACAGGUACAGAGUCCUUUUGCUGUCCUGAACCCCAUUGCUUUGAGGUCAAUAUGCUUGAUAGCAUUUGAUUUGGCUGUAACUCGAUUUUCGAGUUCUUAGUUUUCUUUUGCUGAAGCCAAAAUUCAUCUGCUUCUCAAGUAUCUCUAGAAAUUAAUCAUGCAAUCUUGAAGCUCCAUUUUGUCGUGUGUCUUGCUCUGC
rnacentral:lncRNA from 1 species